rnacentral:misc_RNA from 1 species
UAAUCAAGUAACUAUUAUCGUAAAAUGCCCGCCAUUUCAUCAAGCGGUGAAAGAGAUUUAUAUUGUUAUGUUUUACUGUUGUAGCUCAUUUGAGAAGGACAUAAGAUCAAUAUGGAGUUAUAUUUCAUGCCUUCCGAUGUUGCAAGAAUUGUUCUUGGAUACUUAAAAGAGAGCAGCUAUGUGAAGACGUACAACUGCUUUUUGAAAGAAUGUUGUCACUUGAAGGAAAUUUACAAUUUGGAGAAGGCAGGCCGAUCAUUGAAGAAGGUUACGCAGUUCAAUCUUGUCAAAAUUUUGGAAGAAUGGGGACAGUACAGAUACUCAAAUGAAAAUACUGUUACCAUUGGCAACAACUUCACAGAGACACCAAGUUCUGAUGAGACAGUAGAUGAUACAUUGGUAUGUGACAAUGAUGUUACAAACAGCGGUAGGAAAUCAAAAGCUGGAGCUAGAAGUAAUAGCAAGAAGUCCCCUCAGGUUUCAAAAGCUAGAAGGUCACCUUGUACACCAUACAAAGUAAGAUUGAAAUCACCAAGGAACUCAAAGAACCUUGCUAAUGAAAAUAAUAACCCAGAAAAGGUCAGUAGUGAUAGGUCUGUAGAAAGAGCAGUUACUGGAAAUGCCUGUACUGGAAAAUUUAAUGAAUUUACACCCAAAAAGUCUUCAGUACCUUUACAAAGGGCAAAUUCUGCAGAAAAAGCUGCUGUUCUGUCCAGUCCAUUUAUUAAUGAUGCAGGCUCUAAGACGGAUAUUGGUAGAAAUAUACAACCUGAAGUACCAAGUGCUGUUAACUGUAUGAAAAAUACUGAAAAUGAUUGUGAUAAAACAAAAGCUGAUUUUCCUAAUAAGAAACCAGUAGACACUAAAAAGUUGGAAGUUGAAACUGAUAAAAAGGGUAAGAGAGAAAACAUGCUUGAAGGGGAAAUUCAUAAAGUUGCUAAGUUAGAAGGGGAAUGGGAAGACAGAACUGAUCAGUCUGAACCGAAACACAGAAAAACAAAAGAAACGUCGACAACAAUUACAGAAGAGGAGAAUUUCGAAGAUAGCUCUUCAAAAAAAGUAAAGAUAAUGUCUGAAACUUUUAUAAAAACAGCUGUAGAACCACCAUCAGAAAGUGUUGGAAGCUGUGAGGACAAGUGUUUAGCAUGGAUGAACAAAAACGAAAGUGAGACUAUGAACAGAGAAACAAGUGAACAUGGUGAUAUUACCAGAAACAUAAAUGGAGGAAGUACAGAUGGUCUUGAGAAGACUCCUGUAAGUGAGAAACUUGUCAGCAAUGAAAACCCGCAUGAAGAGGAUGUAAAAGCACAAGAACAUUUAUCGACUCGCUCUGAUGAAUCAAGUAAUGAAGUUACUACAAGUAAAUCAUCAGACAGUCUAGAUACACACAAAUCCAAAACUCCUCAUGUUGUAGCAAGUACCUCCAAUAGAUCAGAGCAAGGUCAUGUUGUUUCACAGCAUGUCACACCAAAGAAGAGAUCACCUGGAUCAAGAGAUAAGAGUUUAGUCACCCCAGUGAAGUUUCUACGAAGUUCAGAGCACCAUACAAGCAGAUCUCCACGUAGAAAGAAACCUAAAACGCCAAGAAAGCGUACAAGUGAAGUGUCACCUGUAAGUGUAGUAUCAACAAAGUCUGUCGACCCAACCAGUGUAAACCCAAUAUUUGAGAAAAUCCUCUCAGAUCAUCGCUUGCAUGAAAAAUUGGCUGAGACAUGUAACCUUGUACACAGUCAGAUAAAGCUUGCUAACAGUGGUAAAGAGAACAAGUCUGACACACAACAAGGUGAACAAGUCUAUCCGCUACCCACCCAGCAUUCUUAUGAGCAGGAAACUGUCACAGCAUCAAGAUCACUGGAGGAAAUUCUAGGCAUUGACCACAACUUCCAUACAGAUAUGUUGAGUGAUAAUAUUGAUAUGAGUGAUCCAGCGUACGAGUCUCUCUUCAAAUUGUUUGGAACAGAUCGUGAAACAUUCAACGAGUAUUUAAGGAAGGAGAAGGAGAAAGAAUUAGCCUUGAUGGAGGCUGAAGUAGAGGAGCUAGAAAGAAGCAAUCAUGAAAUAAUGUGUGCCAACUUUGGUGUGUCCCAGGCUGAUGCAGGAUAUGAGACUCAAGAACUUGUUUACAGUUCACCACAUCACAUGCCGCUAGGUUCACAACAAGAUCUGUUUGCCACCCAGCAUGCUUCAAACUCGCCUAGGACUGGCCAUGCAACUUCUACUCCUUGCGGGAAUGAUGUGCCAAUCAAUUUUACCCCUUUACUUCGAGGAAAUGAACUAGGAAAUAGCCCAGUGCAUUUGACUCAAAGUGUCUUUGGUGGUUUAAAGAACAGCGGUGGAGAUAGUAAGAUAAGCCCAAGUAGUACAGCCACACAACCAUUCAGCCCUGCAUUCUCACAUUACAGCGAGAUGAACAAUCCUCCAACACCACGUAAUCAACAACACCUAUCUGCAUAUGUGAAUGAAAAUAGCCCAGUAGGAACAUGUACACCGGGAAGUCACAUAGAGGAUCCUUACAGCAAUCCUGCUACUCCGAUACAAUCAAACACAGGACAGAUCAUUCAUUCUACACCUACAGGGCCUAGUAGUGUUAGAUCUCAGAGAAAUCCUGACCAUUUUCAUCAUUCAUCACCAAUUCAUUCCCAGCAUAGUGCAGUCAAAAACUCGCAUGCUCCAAUACACUGCAGCCCUCUAGUGAAGGCAGACAUCCAUCCAGAUAGUCCUUUGUUAGCACAAACAAAUGUGUACCAGUCUUCCAGUAACAAUGGACUGUAUUUCAGUUCACAUAUCACAUCUGAAAUGGCAGGUCAAAAUAGACAUGACUUCGCAAGUAAUGGAUGUGUAGCCCAAACAGAGAAUUUCUCUGAACAUGCGUCAGGAUAUUUGAAUUUACUGAAUGGGGCAGCCAACAUUCCAGCAUCCAGAGAACCAUGUACCACAAUAGAGAACACAAUAGGAUGUAUAAGUCUACCCCAACCUUCCAGUAUUGAGUCAAAGCCAAAUAAGAAGAAAGGUGCUAGUCGAUCAAGAAGGAAGAAAGAACCAGUUAAGAGGAAAAGCGUAUCAGCUUCUCAUGCUACAGUUAAAGGUUUGUUGGAAAAACCUCUCACUCAUUUAAACAGCAUUCCACUGUCAAUGAAAGUGGCUGACUUGCAGCGUGUUUAUAGAACACCUGAAAAAAGAGUACCUAUGCCUGCUGAAAACUUGACCUUCCCAUCACCAGGUGGUAAAACAUUGAUAAAUGUACCUUUACUGAACUGUGAGGAUCAAAUUGACCUUAGUGUACUUGGAAUGGAUGAAAAUAUAGACAAUGCUGGUUCCCAAACUGUUAAUGUAUAUGAUCAGAAUUUAGACACAUCCACACAGUACUCUAUAGCGCCAGAGAAUCAGGCAACCCACAACUUGGUUAAUGCAAUAGAAGCUGGAAAUACUGCUGAAGUUGUUCAACAAAUUAAAAAAAGUGAAGAAACAAAACGGAAAACAUCUAAGAGAUCAAAUACGGAGCGAAAAAGCAGGGCAAAAAAGAAAAAGGAAGAAACAGCUAAAGAUGAACAACAUGAUCAUUUCAGUCCUACUCCACCGUCAUUAGACCAGCCUGCCCUUCAGCAAGAAGGUAACGUCGACCCAAAUCAGGAGAUUUAUACUGCUACACCUUUCACAAGUUUGAAUAAAGCAGCAACUGUAAGAGCUUUGAACUUUGGUCCAAAUGUUGAUGAUCCAGAUAUUGCUCAUUAUCGGAAAAUUUAUCCAAAACUUCAAGCUCCAGCUGAUACGAGUCCUAGUGUAUUAAUUUUGAACACCAACCAAGUUAUUAACCCUGGACAAAGAGUUAUUGUUAACACAACACCAGUUACCUUGGUGCAAAAAAUAUCAAAUGUUCAGAAUGAUCCGAAUGUAAAUUUUAAAAAGGAACAAAACUUGGAAACAGAUAAUACUGGUGUUAGUGAUGGUAAGGAUAAUUCAGAAACUGAAAAGACAAUGUUGAAGAGAGUGACAAGGUCUGAAUCAUUGAGGCACAGUAAAGAUGACGAAAAGGAAGCAUCAGAAGAAAAUGUGGGUAACUGUGAUACAGAAGUAGACUCAAAUGAAAAUACUCCUGAGGAAACAUUGGAAAGGGGAAUAGAAAUCCCAAAGCAAAUCAAGAAUAUGCCAGGUGAAACUCCCAGGAAGGGGAAACAAACCCCAAGAAAAACUAGAAAUUUGUCCAAAGAAUUGACAGAAGAACUUGGUGCAGAUUGCAAUAAUGAUCAAUCAAAUGAAGAAGUAAACACUUCUGAAAAUGAAUGUAAAAAUGAUCAGGAAUGCAGAUUGAACUUUGAUAAUUAUUCUGAAGAAAUAUGUGAAAAGAGAAAAGAUAGAAAAUGUAAGAAGAAAGAUGCUUUAUUAAAAACAAAAAAUUUUAAGAACAAAGGUAGCAAGGGGAAAGAAAAAUUAAAGGUUAAGAUACCAAUGAUUAGUCAUCGACCACCAAAUCGAAAAGGGAGAGUGGUUAAAUCGGGGAAAUCGGUGAUUCCAUUUUACUUUAAGAAGAAAACUGAGAUUAAAUCAGAUGUUGACAGCUCAGAUGAGGAUGUGCCACUGAGUGUGGUAAGGAAGCAGCAGGUUAAAAAGAAAGAAUAUAAAUCUGUAGAAUUAAUUGUUGAAUCAGAAACCACUGAUGAAGAAAAAAGUAUGGAAAAUGUCCAGUCAGAAUCAGGCAAAAGAAAGGAGUCAUCUGAUGACGAUAAUAUAACUAGUAAAGAAGUUUUAUUUGAGAAAAUUGGACUGACUCCAACUAAAUCAGUUGGUAGGCAUGAUUUGAAGUCACCAAUUAGAGCCAAUGCUCUUGAUGUUCUUGCGGAAUGGCAAAGUUCCCCAUUAUCAUCAAGAAGUCGUGGACUCACUCCAAAUACUCGCAAUAGAUUUAGUAAAGCAGAUGAUUGUCUCAAGUCACCUACAACACCAAGGAGAAGAACACAUGCUAAACAAUUAUUUGGCUCACCUUGCAAAGAAAGCAUAAUUGAAAAAGUGAAAGGGGGUAAAGCAAAGCAGACUGCAAAAAGAGUUGAUGAUAUCAUUGAUAGAUUGAAGCAAAAUAAUCCAGAUAGAAAUUUAAGUAGUGCAAAUACAAAUAUAAACAUGAUGAACUUGAGAAACAAUGGAAGCAGUGAAGUUGAUGUUGCUAAGAUUGAACUGAAAACCAAAACAGGAAAAGAGAAUGAAAAAAUGUUGAAAGAAUCUAAAUCAGAGAAAACAGAUGCAGAUAGACAAAACAAAAAAUUGAAAACUAGAAAUUUGAUUAAUGAUAAGGGAGAUGGAAGUGCAAGUAAAGAUGCGGGAAAGAAAAUGUCUGAAAUGUAUAAUGAUACCUUUGUGAUAAAUGAUAUAGUUAAUGAGGAAUAUGACCAGAAUUCUCCUGGAACUGAAGUCAUUGAGGAUAAAGUUGUAACUGCAGAUAGGAAUACACUUGCAUUGGAUGAAAGUAGCCAGGGUGCUAGUGAAUUAAACAGGGCUAUUGCUAGUAUAGCAGUGGAUCAUCCAACCAUUAAAGGCGAUGAAGAACAAAAUCUGCUAAUUCAUCGAUAUAAUGAAAAUGAGUUACAGGGGUUUAAUCUUUAUCAAAAUGAAGAUAUACUAAGUGAAUCAUGUAACACUAAGAAGGAAUGUAAUGAAAUUUUCAAAAUAAACCAAAGCAAAAAUGAAAUUUCAGAUGAACAACAUAAACCUGCCUUUCCUGAUAAUCAAGAUGGUAAAGGUCAGUCUGAAACUCAUAAUAAGCAUAUAGUUACAGUUGAUGUUCAUGCUGCCCAAAACAGUCAAGACUCGUGUGAAAUGAUUGAGAAAUUUAAGGACAUCAGAAAUACAAAGUCUAUUCAAGAAAUAAAUCAUGAGUUGGACAGUUGUUCAUCAGAGACUUACAAAGACAUUAAAAUAAAUCAAUUUGACAGUGCAAAACAUUCGCAUGAUACAAACGAAAUAAAAACUGUUGAUCCUGAACAGGUUGAGAGCAAAACAAGGGAAAAAAAGAAAAAACGUAAGCACAGACAUUGUCAUAGACACAAACAUGAAGGUAGUAAUGAAGUUAACACUAUUGGGGAUCAGUUUGGUACUCAGAGUCAAGGAGAAAGAGAGCAUCAUCACAAGAAAAAGAAGAAGAAAUCAAAGAAACGUCAUAGAGAGGAUAGUGAGGAUGUACAUGAGAGCAAGCGUAGAAGGAAGGAGAAGACAAAUGUUUCAUUGGACAGUCUUGCAGCAUUAAAUGUUGAUGAAGCCCUCUCACAGAUUUAUGGGAAACAGCCAUCGACGUAGUUUCAAAUGCAUGGAUAAACAUAGUCUUUUAGUUUCAGGCUUGAUUACAUACUGUGAAAUCAUUUAAUUCCGUGGGCCAAACAGCUAGCCUGGAGUUACCAAUAUCAGUUUGAAUAAGGAUUCAUAUCUUAUACAUUCAUCUUAAACUUAGCUGAAAUAUAAUGAACUGAACUUUUUUUGAUAGAUAAUUUAUUUGUCCAUUCUUAAGACACCCAAAUUAUUUAAAAUCAGCUCAGACCCUUCUAAAUAACCUGGCCCCAACAAAUGCAGCCACCAGAAUCAAUGUAAACAGGGCCAACUAAAUUAAAUGAUAGUGCCAACCAUUCCCUUCCACAACCCUUGCUAUCCAAGACCAGGUAGAUUGAUAGGGAGAAUAUUUUUUUGAUGUUUAGUGAAUAUAAAUCAGUUUACAUAUGUUUACAAUAAUUAUAUGCGAUAUAAAAUCAGAAUAUAAUAACACUAUUUCAGUCAAUAACAGCUGUUAUUAAGUUACAGUUUGAUUAUAAAGGGAUAGGACUCACAACAACAAAAAAUACAGGUUUCAUAUUUGUAAUAGAUGGGUAGUGGUUAUAUAUGUGGGUAGGUAGUGGGUGGGGAAACAAUGUGUUAUUUUAGGCCCAGUAAAAUGUAUGAUUAUGUGUAGAAGUUGGACAUAGUAAAUGUUUUGGUCAAGUAAAGUUGAUAAAGGGACAGCCAGUAGGAGCCAUCAAGGGGUCUCACCACCCUUGACAUGCAGCAGUAUAAUUUGAGGUGUGGGCACUGGUGGUGUCAUUUGUAGUUAUUACUCUUGGCAAAUCAAAUAAAUACAAAUGAGAUGCAAUCUCGGUUCUGGCCUGAAAACAAAAUUAUUCAGUACAGCUGUGAAUGUCAAAUGUUCAAGCAAAAAAAUACACCGAUUCUGGUGGCCACCUAAGAAUUUAUCAAAACAGAAAGAAAAUUUAUUCAAAUUUUAAAUGCAUGAAAAUAAUUUUCCAAGGAUUAAAGUGAUUUCACAGUAUGUAGGAGCUACAGGGCUAAAGCCUUUGACUGACAAUGCAGGUUUAAUUGUGAAGGUGAACUGUAACAGGAAAACUAAACUGUUUUGUAAUGUUUGAACAACAAAAAAGAUAAAGUAUUGUGUAAUGUGUGAUCACUGAAAAACUUGUGUAAUGUUUGAUCGUCAAAUAGAUCAACUUGUGUUAAUGUUUGAUCAUCGAUAAAGAUAAAACUGAACAGUUUUUCUGUAAUAUGUACGGUAGGAAAAAGAAAAUAAAUACUAUGUAUAUGCAUAAAGUAUGCCAGUUAUAAUUAUAUUUUUAAUAAGUAAUCUUUAUUUAUAUUGUGUCUUGGUUUUUUGCUUGUCUGAUCAUUGAAAAAAAAAAUCUA